rnacentral:rRNA from 1 species
UACGGAGGGUGCGAGCGUUGUCCGGAAUCACUGGGCGUAAAGGGCGCGUAGGUGGCGCAGGAGGUCAACGGUGAAAGUUCGGGGCUCAACCCUGAAUCGGCCGUCGAUACUCCUGGGCUCGAGCACUGUAGAGGCAGAUGGAAUUCCGGGUGUAGCGGUGGAAUGCGUAGAGAUCCGGAAGAACACCGGUGGCGAAGGCGGUCUGCUGGGCAGUUGCUGACACUGAGGCGCGACAGCGUGGGGAGCAAACAGG